rnacentral:rRNA from 1 species
GAUGAACGCUGGCGGCGUGCCUAAUACAUGCAAGUCGAGCGAACAGACGAGGAGCUUGCUCCUCUGAUGUUAGCGGCGGACGGGUGAGUAACACGUGGAUAACCUACCUAUAAGACUGGGAUAACUUCGGGAAACCGGAGCUAAUACCGGAUAACAUGUUGAACCGCAUGGUUCAACAGUGAAAGACGGUCUUGCUGUCACUUAUAGAUGGAUCCGCGCCGCAUUAGCUAGUUGGUAAGGUAACGGCUUACCUAGGCAACGAUGCGUAGCCGACCUGAGAGGGUGAUCGGCCACACUGGAACUGAGACACGGUCCAGACUCCUACGGGAGGCAGCAGUAGGGAAUCUUCCGCAAUGGGCGAAAGCCUGACGGAGCAACGCCGCGUGAGUGAAGAAGGUCUUCGGAUCGUAAAACUCUGUUAUUAGGGAAGAACAAAUGUGUAAGUAACUAUGCACGUCUUGACGGUACCUAAUCAGAAAGCCACGGCUAACUACGUG